rnacentral:rRNA from 1 species
GUGGGGAAUUUUGGACAAUGGGCGCAAGCCUGAUCCAGCCAUUCCGCGUGCAGGAUGAAGGCCUUCGGGUUGUAAACUGCUUUUGUACGGAACGAAAAGCCUCUGGUUAAUACACGGGGGUCAUGACGGUACCGUAAGAAUAAGCACCGGCUAACUACGUGCCAGCAGCCGCGGUAAUACGUAGGGUGCGAGCGUUAAUCGGAAUUACUGGGCGUAAAGCGUGCACAGGCGGUGAUGUAAGACAGUUGUGAAAUCCCCGGGCUCAACCUGGGAACUGCAUCUGUGACUGCAUUGCUGGAGUGCGGCAGAGGGGGAUGGAAUUCCGCGUGUAGCAGUGAAAUGCGUAGAUAUGCGGAGGAACACCGAUGGCGAAGGCAAUCCCCUGGGCCUGCACUGACGCUCAUGCACGAAAGCGUGGGGAGCAAACAGGAUUAGAUACCCCAGUAGUCC